rnacentral:rRNA from 1 species
GCGAACGGGUGAGUAACACGUAGGAACCUGUCGUUCAGUGGGGGAUAACGCUGGGAAACCGGCGCUAAUACCGCAUGUGCUCCCUUUCGAGGGAGGAAAGCCUUUCGAGGCGCUGAAUGAGGGGCCUGUGGCCGAUUAGCUAGUUGGUGGGGUAAAGGCCUACCAAGGCGACGAUCGGUAGCUGGUCUGAGAGGAUGGUCAGCCACACUGGGACUGAGACACGGCCCAGACUCCUACGGGAGGCAGCAGUUAGGAAAUUUUUCCAAUGGGGGAAACCCUGAGAGAGUAACGCCGCGUGGAGGAUGACGGCCUUCGGGUUGUAAACUCCUUUUCUGUGGGAAGAGCAGAAGACGGUACCACAGGAAGAAGCAUCGGCUAACUACGUGCCAGCAGCCGCGGUAAUACGUAGGAUGCGAGCGUUGUCCGGAAUUACUGGGCGUAAAGAGCGCGUAAGCGGCGCUGUACGACCGCGGUGAAAGCCCCCGGCUCAACUGGGGAGGGUCCGUGGUAACGGCAGUGCUCUGAGUGCAGGAGAGGGAAGUGGAACUCCGGGAGUAGCGGUGAAAUGCGUAGAGACCCGGAGGAACACCAGUGGCGAAGGCGGCUUCCUGGCCUGCGACUGACGCUGUGGCGCGAAAGCUAGGGGAGCAAACGGGAUUAGAUACCCCGGUAGUCCUAGCCGUAAACGAUGGACACUAGGUGUACGCGGUAUCGACCCCGCGUGUGCCGGCGCUAACGCAGUAAGUGUCCCGCCUGGGGGGUACGGCCGCAAGGCUAAAACUCAAAGGAAUUGACGGGGACCCGCAC